UACGGGGGGGCAAGCGUUGUUCGGAAUUACUGGGCGUAAAGGGCUGGUAGGCGGCCAACUAAGUCGGAUGUGAAAUCCCCAGGCUUAACCUGGGAACUGCAUCCGAUACUGGUCGGCUUGAAUCCGGGAGAGGGAUGCAGAAUUCCAGGUGUAGCGGUGAAAUGCGUAGAUAUCAGGAGGAACACCGGUGGCGAAGGCGGGUCUCUGGGCCGUAACUGACGCUGGAGGAGCGGAAAGCAUGGGGGAG
rnacentral:rRNA from 1 species